rnacentral:rRNA from 1 species
CGUACACUCCUACGGGAGGCAGCAGUGGGGAAUAUUGGACAAUGGGCGCAAGCCUGAUCCAGCCAUGCCGCGUGAGUGAUGAAGGCCCUAGGGUUGUAAAGCUCUUUCACCGGUGAAGAUAAUGACGGUAACCGGAGAAGAAGCCCCGGCUAACUUCGUGCCAGCAGCCGCGGUAAUACGAAGGGGGCUAGCGUUGUUCGGAUUUACUGGGCGUAAAGCGCACGUAGGCGGACUAUUAAGUCAGGGGUGAAAUCCCGGGGCUUAACCCCGGAACUGCCUUUGAUACUGGUAGUCUUGAGUUCGAGAGAGGUGAGUGGAAUUCCGAGUGUAGAGGUGAAAUUCGUAGAUAUUCGGAGGAACACCAGUGGCGAAGGCGGCUCACUGGCUCGAUACUGACGCUGAGGUGCGAAAGCGUGGGGAGCAAACAGGAUUAGAAACCCCUGUAGUCCCA